rnacentral:rRNA from 1 species
CCCUUAGAUGUUCUGGGCCGCACGCGCGCUACACUGAUGCAUUCAACAAGUUUUACCUUGGCCGAAAGGCCUGGGCAAUCUUUGAAUGUGCUUCGUGAUAGGGAUAGAUUAUUGCAAUUAUUAAUCUUGAACGAGGAAUUCCUAGUAAACGCCAAUCAUCAAUUGGCAUUGAUUACGUCCCUGCCCUUUGUACACACCGCCCGUCGCACCUACCGAUUGAAUGGUCCGGUGAAGACUCGGGAUUGCGGCCAGUGCCUUUACUGGUGUUGGUUGCAAGAACUUGUCUAAACCUUAUCAUUUAGAGGAAGGUGAAGUCGUANCA